GACAGAGAACAGUGGACACACAGUUUAACAUGAUGGACUAUAGGACAGGACUGCUGCUUUUAACUCUCUGCUGGGCAGGUGUUGAUGGUCAGACUCUGACAGAAUCUGAACCAGCGAUUAAAAGACCUGGAGAAUCCCACAGAUUGACCUGUACAACAUCUGGAUUGUCAUUCAGUAGCUACUAUAUGGCCUGGAUCAGACAGGCUCCUGGAAAAGGACUGGAGUGGAUUACGAGUAUCCACAGUACUAACAUCUACUACGCUCAGUCAGUUCAGGGCCGGUUUACCGUCUCCAGAGACGACAGCAGAGAGCAGCUGUAUCUGCAGAUGAACAGUCUGAAGACUGAAGAUUCUGCUGUUUAUUAUUGUGCUCGAGAGCCACAGUGACUGGAGUUGGUUGAGCAGCUGUACAAAAAUCCUACAGUAUUCUUACUGGGCUGAUGAAGCCAAAUAAUUAAGAUGAUAUAUGAAUGUAAUAUUUAUAUCAUAUAUUGU